ensembl:lncRNA LINC02889 long intergenic non-protein coding RNA 2889
CAAAAAAGCUGUAGUUUUUUCAUUUGGCUUGAAGUCAGUAUAGAGAAGUUAUUUAAAAUAAGAUUUUCGUCCCACGGAAUUGUCCCCUUUGUUAUUGUAUAUCCUUCAGGUUUAUGGGACAGCACUAGAGGAAAGUGACAGCCUCAGAGGACCUUCAGAUGGUGUCCUGGGUAGCUGAAACUGUGGAAAGCAAAACCGUGGAUAAGGGGGAACUACUAUACUGAAAAUGUACAAAACAGAGAAGAUUUCAUUGAAGAAGUCUGCUGUUUCUGGAAUGGGAAAUUAAGGGAGAGGUUCGUGAAGAAGUGAUUGGGAAAGAGAGCAAGUCUUGGUUGGACAGUGUGAUUCAAUAGAAAUGUGAGGAGGAAAACUGCAAUUAUUUCUGAACCUUCCCAUCAGCCUUGUCUCUGAUAGAAUUGGCCUGUUGUGGACGGGCUUUGUG